rnacentral:rRNA from 1 species
GAUGAACGCUGGCGGCGUGCCUAACACAUGCAAGUCGAGCGACCAGACGAUGAGCUCGCUCUCCUGAGGUUAGCGGCGGACGGGCGAGUAACACGUGGAUAACCUACCUAUAAGACUGGGAUAACUUCGGGAAACCGCUGCUAAUACUUGCUAAUACAUCCUACCGGAUGGAUCAAUAGUGCAAGACGGCUUGGCUGUCACUAAGAGACGGAUCCGCGUCGCAUUAGCUGGUUGGUAAGGUAACGGCUUACCAAGGCGACGAUGCGUAGCCGACCUGAGAGGAUGAUCGGCCACACUGGAACUGGAACACGGUCCAGACUCCUACGGGAGGCAGCAGUAGGGAAUCUUACGCAAUGGGCGAAAGCCUGACGAAGCAACGCCGCGUGAGUGAUGAAGGUCUUCGGAUCGUAAAGCUCUGUUAUUAGGAAAGAAAAGCAGUAUAGUUAUCUAUGCACGUCUUGACGGUACCUAAUCAAUAAGCCCCGGCUAACUUCGUG